rnacentral:rRNA from 1 species
GACGAACGCUGGCGGCGUGCUUAACACAUGCAAGUCGAACGGAAAGACCCUGCUUUUGUGGGGUGCUCGAGUGGCGAACGGGUGAGUAACACGUGAGUAACCUGCCCUUGACUUUGGGAUAACUUCAGGAAACUGGGGCUAAUACCGGAUAGGAGCUCCUGCUGCAUGGUGGGGGUUGGAAAGUUUCGGCGGUUGGGGAUGGACUCGCGGCUUAUCAGCUUGUUGGUGGGGUAGUGGCUUACCAAGGCUUUGACGGGUAGCCGGCCUGAGAGGGUGACCGGCCACAUUGGGACUGAGAUACGGCCCAGUCUCCUACGGGAGGCAGCAGUGGGGAAUAUUGCACAAUGGGCGGAAGCCUGAUGCAGCAACGCCGCGUGCGGGAUGACGGCCUUCGGGUUGUAAACCGCUUUCGCCUGUGACGAAGCGUGAGUGACGGUAAUGGGUAAAGAAGCACCGGCUAACUACGUG